UACUCCUACGGGAGGCAGCAGUGGGGAAUAUUGGACAAUGGGGGCAACCCUGAUCCAGCCAUGCCGCGUGUGUGAAGAAGGCCCGAGGGUUGUAAAGCACUUUUAGUAAGGAGGAAGGUUAGAUAGUUAAUACCUGUUUAGCUUGACGUUACUUACAGAAAAAGCACCGGCUAACUUUGUGCCAGCAGCCGCGGUAAUA
rnacentral:rRNA from 1 species